AGGUUUCCUGAAUGAGGUCUUCGGCGUCGGCUUGAUUCUGAGUCAAGCGGAGGGCGGCUCCGUAGAGCAUGUCCAUAAGAGGCAUG
rnacentral:tRNA from 1 species